rnacentral:tRNA from 2 species
GUUGGGGAUGGCGCAGGAGACGCAUUCUUCGACUGCUAAUCGGGAGGUCGCGGAUUCGAGUUCCGCUCGCCGGUU